rnacentral:rRNA from 1 species
AUACGUAGGGGGCUAGCGUUAUCCGGAAUUACUGGGCGUAAAGGGUGCGUAGGUGGUUUCUUAAGUCAGAAGUGAAAGGCUACGGCUCAACCGUAGUAAGCUUUUGAAACUAAGAGACUUGAGUGCAGGAGAGGAGAGUAGAAUUCCUAGGGUAGCGGAGAAAUGCGUAGAUAUUAGGAGGAAUACCAGUUGCGAAGGCGGCUCUCUGGACUGUAACUGACACUGAGGCACGAAAGCGUGGGGAGCAAACAGGAUUAGAUACCCUGGUAGUCCACGCCGUAAACGAUGAGUACUAGCUGUCGGGGGUUACCCCCCUCGGUGGCGCAGCUAACGCAUUAAGUACUCCGCCUGGGAAGUACGCUCGCAAGAGUGAAACUCAAAUGAAUUGACGGGG